rnacentral:rRNA from 1 species
CACUACGGGUGGCUGCAGCAACGAAUAUUCCGCAAUGGGCGAAAGCCUGACGGAGCGACGCCGCGUGAGGGAUGAAGUCCCUUCGGGAUGUAAACUUCAAUAGUACGCCAGGAACCAAUCCUGGCUAAUAAUCAGGAAAGUUGACCAGCGUACGAAAGAGGCGGCUAACUCCGUGCCAGCAGCCGCGGUAAUACGGAGGCCUCGAGCGUUGUUCGGAAUCACUGGGCUUAAAGCGCGUGUAGGCGGAACGGUAAGUACUGAGUGAAAGCCCCGGCUUCAAUCCGGGAACUGCUUGGUAUACUGUCGUUCUUGAGGCAGGUAGGGGUCACUGGAACCUUAGGUGGAGCGGUGAAAUGCGUAGAUAUCUAAGGGAACGCCUGUGGCGAAAGCGGGUGACUGGGCCUGUCCUGACGCUGAGACGCGAAAGCGUAGGGAGCAAACGGGAUUAGAUACCCCGGUAGUCUACGCCGUAAACGAUGCGCACUAGGUUCGAGUAGCUCUGACGCUUCUCGAGCCGAAACAAAAGCGUUAAGUGCGCCGCCUGGGGAGUACGGCCGCAAGGCUAAAACUCAAAGGAAUUGACGGGGGCUCACACAAGCGGUGGAG